CAUGAUCCCGCCAUGCCGCGUGAGUGAUUNAGGCCNUAAGGUUGUANAGCUCUUUAACCCGGCAUGAUAAUGACGGUACCCGCAGAAUAAGCCCCGGCUAACUCCGUGCCAGCAGCCGCGGUAAUACGGAGGGGGCUAGCGUUAUUCGGAAUUACUGGGCGUAAAGCGCGCGUAGGCGGUUUGUUAAGUCGGAUGUGAAAGCCCCGGGCUCAACCUCGGAACUGCAUUCGAUACUGGCUCGCUAGAGUGUGGUAGAGGAGAGUGGAAUUCCCAGUGUAGCGGUGAAAUUCGUAGAUAUUUGGAGGAACACCAGUGGCGAAGGCGGCUCCCUGGNCCANCCCUGACGCUCAGGCGCGAAACC
rnacentral:rRNA from 1 species